rnacentral:rRNA from 1 species
AGCGAACGCUGGCGGCAGGCCUAACACAUGCAAGUCGAACGAACUCUUCGGAGUUAGUGGCGGACGGUUGAGUAACACGUGGGAACGUGCCUUUUGGUUCGGAAUAACUCAGGGAAACUUGUGCUAAUACCGAAUGUUCCCUUCGGGGGAAAGAUUUAUCGCCAUUAGAGCGGCCCGCGUCUGAUUAGCUAGUUGGUGAGGUAACGGCUCACCAAGGCGACGAUCAGUAGCUGGUCUGAGAGGAUGACCAGCCACACUGGGACUGAGACACGGCCCAGACUCCUACGGGAGGCAGCAGUGGGGAAUCUUGCGCAAUGGGCGAAAGCCUGACGCAGCCAUGCCGCGUGAAUGAUGAAGGUCUUAGGAUUGUAAAAUUCUUUCACCGGGGACGAUAAUGACGGUACCCGGAGAAGAAGCCCCGGCUAACUUCGUG